rnacentral:rRNA from 1 species
UACGGAGGGUGCAAGCGUUAUCCGGAUUUACUGGGCUUAAAGGGUGUGUAGGCGGGCCUUUAAGUCUGGGGUGAAAUCUCCGAGCUCAACUCGGAAACUGCCCUGGAUACUAUUGGUCUUGAAUUAUGUUGAGGUUGGCGGAAUAUAACAUGUAGCGGUGAAAUGCAUAGAUAUGUUAUAGAACACCGAUUGCGAAGGCAGCUAACUAAGCAUAUAUUGACGCUGAGGCACGAAAGCGUGGGGAGCAAACAGG